CCAUCAUCCCCAGCCACAAAAAAUUGUAGCUGGUGUUGAUGGACGCUGUAGUUCAGCAACAUCUGGAGGCUCCUGUUUUCCAAAAACGGAAACCACAUCCCUUCACUUAGCUCAGUCAUAUCAGCAGUUAAAAGUACUGGAUUUUGUUUUGAUUCUUGUCCAUCUCUUUGUGAAGGUCAAGCACACCUCAUUAUCAAAGGAAUGCAAUGCCGUGGCUUAAUGACUAAGGAUUCCUUGGGAAUGUUGACCAAAACCUAUUUCCCAUCCUUUCAGAACCAUUCUAGGCUGCAAAAUGACUCAAGUGCUGCUCAAAGCUAGUGUUUGGGCCAAGCAGGGUAUAAUUCUUUCUUUAAAAACUGAGCCAGCUUGUCACACUAUAUUACAGCAAGAAUGUAUGGAGAAGUUCAGGGCUGUAGCUAUAAUUGAGCAGAUGGGUUCAAAGAACUCGGGACCCCCAGCCCCACCCAUCCCUAUUUUCUUCAUUAUCUUUCUCACUCCGAGGGACCUCUGGGGAGAGGGGCGAACACGGGCUCCCUCUCCCCUAGCUACACCCCUGGAAAAGCUGAAUUCAGGUUUUACAGUGUAAGAACAAUUUUGCCUGUUCAAAAAGACCAACUGGAUAUCCAGAACAAAUAACCAUAGUUUACCUGCUUCUCAACCACCUUGCUUUUGUACACAUACGAAAUAUCUUCCAGAAGAGAAGGGCAAAUUUCAUCCACUUUAGUUAGUAUAACCAGCUGUGGCACAUCUGUAUGAAGACAAUGAGUUAAAAUGACUUGCAGGAUGUAUUGAUUUUACAUGUUAAUUUACAACUGAAUAGAGUAUUUACACAUCUGGGAGUGUAUACUUUAUGUAAUGUUUUAGAUAAUUUUAUUCUUAUUUAGGAAAUAGUACUAUAAUAUUUCUUUAUAUUUAGGAAAUGGUAUGUAAUACUUUGGUUUAUUUAUGCAAUGAAGACCUUUACUCAUUACCUUCAUCUCCUUAUGGCACUACUUAUACUUGACAGAUGUUUCUUUUUAUCCAGGGAAGGCAUUUCUUCAAAAUAAUUCCUGAUAGGGUGUCUCCUAGGCCUAGAAGCUGACAGUUUUCCUGUGGCAAAUGUUGGGCAAUACAGAAAACUGUGUACUGAAUCUUAUGUCCCCCUUUCCCCCACUGUUUUUCUACUUCACCUCCUUUCCUAUAUUAUUUCUCUGUCUUUUUUUUUUCAAAAUUCAAUUUUUAUUGAUUUUAACAAUAAUAUUAUUAUCAUUCAUAACAAACAGAAUAAAUAAAAAUGGACUUCCCGCACACCUCUCUUCAUGAAAGAUCAACUAUAAAAUUUACCCUUGCUAUAAUAAUAAUUCAAAACAUAAAUUUAAACCCUUACAAACAUCUGUCAACUCUUCUGCCUUGGCACAGCCCCACCACAAAACCAUACUCUCUAGUUUACAUCUUUGCACAGGAAAACCAGGCUUAAAAACAGAAACUGAAAGCCCAAAUUCCCCAAACUCCCAGCUGAUAGUUGCUGAGAACUGCUGAACAGACUAGAGCAAUUUUCAUGAGAUGAAACUAAAACUAAUGCCCAUAUCUGAUUGGUAAGUAACUCACUAUUUGUGAUAGAGACAUAUUAAUUUAUUUUUAGGAAACUGAAUAUAUUGGUGUGGCAUGUUUGAAAGGUAAAGGUAAAGUGUGUCAUCAAGUUGAUUUUAAUUCCUGGCAUCCACAGAGCCCUGUGGUUUUCUUUGAUAGAAUACAGGAGGGGUUUACCAUUGCCUCCUCCCACACAGUAUGAGAUUAUGCCUUUCAGCAUCUUCCUAUAUCGCUGCUGCCCGAUAUAGCAAUAGCAAUAGCUAUAACCCGAUAUAGCAAUAGCAAUAGCACUUACAUUUAUAUACCGCUCCAUAGCUGGAAGCUCUCUAAGCGGUUUACAAUGAUUUAGUAUAUUGCCCCCAACAUUCUGGGUACUCAUUUUACCGACCUCGGAAGGAUGGAAGGCUGAGUCAACCUUGAGCCCCUGGUCAGGAUCGAACUUAUAACCUUCUGGUUACAGGGCGGCAGUUUUACCACUGCGCCACCAGGUAGUAGAUAUGGUAGGUAUAGUAGGUAUAUAGUAGGUAUAGAUAUAGUAGUAGAUAUAGUAGGGAUUCAAAGGUAAAUCUUGCCUCACAAACCUUUUGAAGUUCUCUGAGAGUGUCAACAAGUGUGUGGAUCAAGGUGAUCCAGCUGACAUAGUAUACCUGGACUUCCAAAAAGCUUUUGACAAAGUUCCUCAUCAGAGAGAGCAACCAAGAUGAUCAGGAGCCUAGAGCACCUUUCUUAUGAGGCAAGACUACAAUACCUGGGGCUUUUUAGUUUAGAAAAAAGACGACUGCGGGGAGACAUGAUAGAGGUGUAUAAAAUCAUGCAUGGUGUGGAGAAAGUGGAGAGAGAGAAAUUCUUUUCCCUCUCACACAACACUAGAACCAGGGGUCACUCCAUGAAAUUGAUUGUCAGGAGGUCUAGGACCAACAAACAGAAGUACUUUUUCACACAAAGCAUGAUCCACUUGUGGAACUCUCUGCCACAGGAUGUGGUGACAGCCAACAACCUGGAUGGCUUUAAGAGCGGUUUGGAUAACUUCAUGGAGGAGAGGUCUAUCAACCAGUCGGAGGGCUGUGGGCCACCUCCAGUCUCAAAGGCAGGAUGCCUCUGAGUACCAGUUGCAGGGGAGUCACGGCGGGAGAGAGGGCAUGCCCUCAACUCCUGCCUGUGGCUCCCAGCAGCAUCUGGUGGGCCACUGUGUGAAACAGGAUGCUGGACUGGAUGGGCCUUGGGCCUUUUCCAGCAGGGCUGUUCUUAUGUUCUUAAACCAGCAACCUUCUGCUUGUUAGUCAAGCAUUUCCCUGCUGCGCCAUUAAGUGGCUUUGCAUGUGAUCAGAUUUAAUUAAGUUAGGAUUGGGCAAGGUCAAGGAGGGAUAGGGAGGACUGGAGGGAGUCAGGUAAGAGGAGGCAAGGUAAGAGGCUGGACGUUUCUAGCUAGACAUUUCUAGCUUGGACUACGGCUCUGCUCUGCUUUUGUUCUACUGUCUUUGUUAUAGUUGUGGCCUCCCCCACUCCCUCCAUUGCCCGAUAAUUUCCUCCUGUGGACAUUAUAUUGGCCACUUCUCGAAAUCUCUCGUCAGAGGAGGACUCUGCAUUUCUGGGUCUUAUAAGGAAGGAAGUGCACCAGAAGUACAGUGGGCCGGGCAAGAGGAGUGGGAGGCUGUAAUAAAAUCCUUUAGUUGGCAGGCAGCAGGUGACCUAACUGCAGGCAGCCCGUGAAGCCAGUCUCCAAAGAAGUCCAGACUUUCAUGCUGGGCUUUCAGUGUGGGACUGGGGUACACUGUGUUAUUUUAUAACUGUGUAAGAAGUAGGGAUGUGCACGGAAAUGGUUCAGAGGCCCUUUAUGGGCCUCCGAACUGUUUCGAACGGUGGGUGCUUCCGCUGGUUCAAAGGAGGGGGGUACUGCUUUAAGUGUGUGGGGGGGUGAACUUACCCCUCCCACUGGUCUUCUCCCGCUGGCGCUCCUUUUUCAGUAAGUCCAUGGGGUGGCAGCAUGGCUCCCUGCUGCCCCGUUUGCCAGAUAUACCCAGAAGUAUCAGGCACAGGGGCAUGCAGGUCACGCUUGGGCAUGUACAGGUGCAUGGCAGGCAUGACACGUGCGUCCCCACACCGUCGCACGCAGGCGUGCCCGAUACUUCUGGGUAUAUCCAGUAAACGGGGCAGCAGGGAGCUAUAUUGCCGCGCCAAUGGGGGAAGAGUGGCGGGGGGGGGGUAAGUUCACCCUCCCCCACACUUAAAGCGGCACACACACCUGCCUUUGAGCCUCCCCACCCUGUUCCGUGCACAUCCCUGGUAAGAAGCUGAAGUUGCUAGUGAGAGAGCUUCUGCUGCUUGAGUCUUGGGCAAGGUUAGUCAACCAUGUGUCUAGGUUUAUCUGGAGAUGGGGAAACAAGGGACAUGUGUGAUCACUGACUACGGGGUGGCUAUUCUGGUGGUCUUGCAGAAUAGAAGAAGUAGCAUUGACAGGUCAGCAGGCCCUUACAGGGGAAGGGAAAUCAGAAAUUGACCUUCGGUAGCAGUGCCUACCUCCCACAGAACUUCACCUUGCUCGUUUCUAAUGACAGGUUAGUUUAAAAUGAAUCUGAAAUCAUACAUUUAAUUAUGGAUAAAGUAGCUGACCUGGUAUGUAUUAUAGAGAUUGGGUGAUUAAACCUUCUCCAUACAGAGUAGGAACAUAGGAAACUGCCAUAUACUGAGUCAGACCAUUGGUCUAUCUAGCUCAGUAUUGUCUUCACAGACUGGCAGUGGCUUCUCCAAGGUUGCAGGCAGGAAUCUCUCUCAGCCCUAUCUUGGAGAAGCCAGGAAGGGAACUUGGAACCUUCUGCUCUUCCCAGAGCGGCUUCAUCCUCUGAGGGGAGUAUUUUGCAGUGCUCCCACAUCAAGUCUCCCAUUCAGAUGCAACCAGGGCAGACCCUGCUUAGCUAUGGGGACAAGUCAUGCUUGCUACCACAAGACCAGCUCUCCUCUCCAAGUACUCUGAACAGUACUCUGUUCAGGAGUAGAUAAGAGGACAUGGGCGUGGAGGUGGAGUUGCUGUGGCCUAUAAGAAUAACAUCUCACUUACCUGGAUCCCUGUCAGAGUAUCUAACUAUGUUAAUUGUGUGUACUUAAGUUUGGGGACCAGAAAUAGACUGGGACUUCUGUUGGUGUACCCAUCACCCCGAUGCCUCACAUACUCCCUGAGCUGACAGACUUGGUUGUGAAAUUGAUAUUGGAGUCUUCCAGACUUAUAGUGAUGGGGAACUCCAAGGUUCAUUUCGGGUCCAAACUCUCUGGGAAAGCUCCAGAGUUUAUAGUGGCCAUGGCUAUCUCAGGUGUUCUCCAAACUGAUGCACGUUGCUGACUCAAUUUGGUCUUUUACUCUGAUCAGGGUGGCAUGGCUGUCCUUAGAGAGCCCUGUCAGGGUGUGGGCCUGGGGCAAAUCAGCCAGUGUGGAGCCACCUUUCAGUUAAUUCUAAUGGGAGUAUAAAGAGCAGGGCCCAGGGCAGCCACCUUGCUUGCCAUGCCCUAAGGACAGACCUGCAGGGUGGUGUUCCAUGGGUGGGGACUCCUGAUUUCCCCAUUGUAAUGGACAACUUAACCAUCUGGUUAAGGUUAGACUUACAAACAAUCUACAGGGGUGAAGAGUCUAUUAGGAUGGUCCAUCUGAAAAGAUUAUUGUGUCCAACAGGACUCCAAGAAGCCUUGGAAGGAUUUCAAGUUGGCUGUGUCAGUGAUUCAAGUGGGGAGCUGUAACAGAGAACUCACCAGAGCAGUAGACAUCAUAGCUCCUAAGCAUUCUGUCUCCAACCCACUUCAAAACUGACCCAUUUUGAAAUGAAAGAACUAGAGAAAUAACUCCUGCUAACUGAGCAAAGAGGCACCUUCUUAAAAUGGUGAUCCUCUUUAUUUAGCAGGGGGAAAGCUACUGGCCUUUCAACCCCAGCACAGCAUCCUUCCAGUGGCUGUUGCUGGUGUCUUUCUUAUGUUUGUUUUUUAGACUGUGAGCCCUUUGGGGACAGACAGCUAAUUAAUUAAUUAAUUUCUGUAUGUAAACCGCUUUGGGAACUUUGGUUGAAAAGCGGUAUAUAAAUAUUCCUCAUAUUCGUAGAGGAGCUGAAGCGGCAAGUUAGAUAACUGGAGUGCAAGUGGCGAAAGUCUCAAUGCAGCUGACAGACUGCAACAGAUCACAGAGAAGAUCUAUGCUCUGGCAAUACAUGUAGCAAAGAAGCAGCUCUUUUCUGCCUGCAUUGCAUCAACAAGCUCAUGUCCAACUGAAUUGUCUAGGGUUGUGAAAGUGCUAAUACAUGCAGAGGUGCACCUAGAUAAUUUUGGAGUCUGGAUGUAAAGGCCUUUGGAUGUCUCCUCCCCCGCUAGAAGUUAAGCAUUUUUUAACACGUAGGUUCUUUAGGGCACAAACUGCACCACUCAAGACAAACUAAAGAAGAUUUGGGGGACCCCAGGGAGGAUGGACGCCCUGGACUUCAGCCUCAAAGUCCAGGGGGAAGAGCACCUCUGAGUACAUGCCCCUCUGUCCCUGAAUUUCAAUUUCAAACAUACUGGGGCUAUUCUCACAAUCUGCAAAAAUCGGGCUAGGAGAGCCUAGCCCGAUUUUUGCAGAUCGUGAGAACCACCGGGCUCGGCUUCGAGCCUGGUGGUUCUAGAGCGGGUCACCCGCUUCUGUAGCCCUCCCCAUAGCCUGGGUUUGCAGAGCAAGUGCUCCGCAAACCCGGGCUAUCUGAUCGUGAGUAGCCAUGGCAUGGAUCCGCGGCACAGCUAUCUGCGAGUGAAUCCCCCAAGGGGAGGCGAAAAGCCGCUUCCUGGCUCCAGGGGUCUCCCCAGUAUGCCCUGUGUACUCGUGCAGGGCAUACUGGAGCUUCCGGAGGCCAUGCGGCCCCCGAGCUCCCCAGCCCCCACCGGCUCCAUCACAGAACCGGCAACUGUGUGGGCAGCCAAUCCGGCCACCCAGGGCUCCGUCCCCGAUCAUGAGCGAGGAAAGCAGGCUUAGCCCGCUCUCCCCGCUCAGCUCACUAAACCGGGUCUCAUGGAUCGUGAGACCCGGCUCACUAUCUAGAUGAAGGCUGUUGUAGAGGUCCUAGUAGAGAUUAGAAAUGCUUCUCUAGGGAAAGGCAGCAUGCCUUCCUGUCUUAAGGAGGCAAUUGUUAAACCUUUUCUGAAGAAGCCUGCAUUGGGUUCCUCAGAGUUAAGCAAUUAAAGGCCUGUUUCCAACCUUCCUUGGUUGGGCAAGGUAACUGAGAGGGUAUCCUUCUGGGUUGUCUUUGCAGUGCUUCUGUUCCUACCUCUCCAGCAGAUUCCAGAUGGUGUCUCUUGGAGACUGUUGCUCUUCAAAAUGAAAACUUUUGUACAGAGUCAUGAAGGACUCCAUAUUGUCUCCAAACCUUUUUAAUAUUUACAUGAAACUGCUGGGAUAGAUAAUCAGAAGAUUUGAUGCAGGGUGUUAUCAGUAUGCGGAUGACACCCAUAUCUAUUUCUCUAUGUCAGCUUCACCAGGAAAAGGCAUAACCUCCCUAAAUGCCUGCCUGGAGGCAGUAAUGGGCUAGAUAAGGGAUAACAAACUGAGAAUGAAUCCAAGUAAGACAGAAGCACUUAUUGUGCCGUGUCGGAACUCCGGAGACAAUUUUGAUCUGCCUAUUAUGGACAGGUCUACACUCCACAGAAGGAACAGUUUUGCAGUCUGGAAGUACUCCCGGAUCCAAACUUCUCUCUAGAAUCUCAGGUGGAGGCAGUGGCAAAAGUUCUUUCUAACAGCUUUGGCUGAUAUGCCAGCUGCAUUUGCUUCUUGGGAUACAUGACCUCAAAACUGUACUGCAUAUGCUGGUAACUUCUAGACUUGAUUAGUGCAAUGAGCUCUAUGUACAGCUGCCUUUGUAUGUAGUCUGGAAACUGCAAUUGGUGCAAAAUGUGGCAGCCAGGUUGGUCUCCAUGUUAUCUUGAAGAGACCAUAUUUAUUCCUAUAUUAAAAGAAUUGCAUUGGCUACCAAUAUGUUUCCCGGCAAAAUACAAAAUGUUUGUAAAACCUAUAAAGCCCUAAACAGCUUAGGCCCAGGAUAGUAAAGAAAACAUCUUCUUCAUUAUGAGCCCUACCACCAACUGAGAUCAUUCAGAGAGGUCUGUCUGCUGUUGCCACCAGCUCAUCUGGUAGCUACUCAGGAGCAGGCCUUCCCCAUUGCCACCCUGAGACUCUGGAAUGUGCUGCCUGCUGAAAUAAGAGCUUCCCCAUUUCUGACAACUUUUUAAAAGUCCUUAAAUUCAUUCACCCAGACCUUUUAACUAGAAUAGUGGUUUUAAACUUUUUAAAAUGUUUUAAUUUGUUUUAAUUUGUUCUACAUUUGUUGUAAACUGUCCAGAGACAUGAGUUUGGGACAGCGCACAAAUAUUCUAAAUAAAUAAAUAAAAUAUGUGUUUUUUAUUAGCAUGAAGAUUUGAAUCUAAUAUUUUAUUUACAUUUGGGGGGGAAUUAAAAUUGAUUAAAACUUUGACAAACCUGUUGUUUUUAAAAUCAUCAAUUUUUAUACACCCUGAUGACAUGUACUACUUUCUGUCAGGGACACAUUCUAGGGCUUUUAGAUUUAAACUAGCCAACCCUACACAGAGCAUCUGUGUGCUCUUUGGGGCCGGUGGUUACCUCUUCUCCCCCACCUUGUGCCCCAGUCUCUGCUUCCAGGCCCAGCCACCUCUCCUCCCCACCGCCACUUCUGCCCCCCCCCUUUCUUUCACCCCUCCUGGGCCUUGCCUCCGCGGCCGGGCUGUGCCUGCAUCCGCUUCUGGCCUCCACAUCCUGGGUGCGCCUCAGCCAGCGAAGCGCAUCUGCCACCCAGCCAAUGAGCUAGGCGCUGGGACACACAUUCCAAGGCACACCCAGGAGAAUUAUAUAUAUAGAUCUGGAUAUAGGAUCAAAUGCUUGUGAGAGGAAAUGGUCCUACAAGUUAGACUUAUUUGUUUCACUUACUUGGUUUCUGUCCACCUCCUACUAGAAUUGCUGUUCUGUUUGUUUGAAAACAAAUGAUUAAAGGCUCUUUGGGUAGCACCCUGUUCCCUCUGGUUAAGCAGAUGGAGGCACUGGUCCUGAGCAGGACUUCUUCCUAGUCUGGCUAACUACUUUCCUGAGCUCCAUUAGAUCACCCAGGGUGUUCUAAGGAGAAUUUAUCAUCUGAAAAACUGAUACACCUCUUCAGGUUAGGCACAAAAAUAUUUUUGGGUCUGACUGGUUAAAACAUAAAUGAAAAAAACUGACCAAACUCAUUUGCUUGUUUGCUUUGCCGUCGAAUUUCUCUUAGCUUUUUCUCUAGUUCCUCUGGGAGAAUCUCAACCUUGGAGCCAUCAAGAACAAUUACCACACAAUGGAUCUGGUCUUUCAGAGAUGGGUUCUUGAUGUAGCCUGGCACAUUUGGUUGCAUAGCAGCAGAUGGAUUAAACUGAACAUAAAAGAGUGGAACAAAAUAAUAAGCAACAGUAGAAAGACCAAGUGCCUCCUUUCUUGGAGAACUGAGACUUAAAGAAGGAAAUGCAGUGCUUCAUUGUGCUCAUCCCAGUACACAAGAACAGACCACAUGACUUGCAGUGGGGACAGAACACGUGACCCAUCUUCAGAGUGGGUCCUGCUACUGGCCAUCUCCACAACUUGCAACGAUAGUCCUGGACAUGCUCAGAACCAUAAUUUCUUUCAGAGACCAUAGAAUGUGUAGUGAUACCAGCAGGAAAUGGCACUUCGGAACAUGCUCAGAACCUCAUUUGAAGUUGUAUAGAGAGUUGCCCAGAGAGCCUGCCUGCUUCUGUGUAUCUGUCUGAGAGCCAGGUCUGUUCCCACCAGGGCCUGCCACCCUCACUCAGUGUUGCAGGGUUUUUAGCCUUGGGAAGCCUAGGCUUCUUGGUUCUUUAAUCAUUUCUGAAUAUGCAAAAAAUAAGCCUUGAGUACAGUUUUGAGUACUUGCAAGGAUUGCAAGAUAAUUAGUGGGAUGUUUCUCCAUCUCUAACCUACUAGUAUAAAUGAAAACUUCUUGUGAAUUUCUAUAUCAUGGAACUUCUCUACUGGUGACAAAUGAGCUAGAAAGGCAGUUUAUCAUCUUUACUUGGAAAUAAGUCUUGAGUCACUUUUGUAAGAUCAAGAUAGUUUAAGAACUUUGCAACCAUCAUGAACACAAGAGAAGUCAACAACUUAUUGCUAUCAAUAUGAUGUGAAAUUAAGAUCUUUUUUUCAAGAAUAAAUCAAAUAUUCUUCUGAUGAUUUUAAGGAAA